rnacentral:rRNA from 1 species
CCUACGGGAGGCAGCAGUGAGGAAUAUUGGUCAAUGGGCGUAAGCCUGAACCAGCCAAGUCGCGUGAGGGAUGAAGGUUCUAUGGAUCGUAAACCUCUUUUAUAAGGGAAUAAAGUGCGGGACGUGUCCCGGUUUGUAUGUACCUAAUGAAUAAGGAUCGGCUAACGCCGGGCCAGCAGCCGCGGUAAUACGGAGGAACCGAGCGUUAUCCGGAUUUAUUGGGUUUAAAGGGUGCGUAGGCGGCCUUUUAAGUCAGCGGUGAAAGUCUGUGGCUCAACCAUAGAAUUGCCGUUGAAACUGGGUGGCUUGAGUAUGUUUGAGGCAGGCGGAACGCGUGGUGUAGCGGUGAAAUGCUUAGAUAUCACGCAGAACCCCGAUUGCGAAGGCAGCCUGCCAAGCCAUGACUGACGCUGAUGCACGAAAGCGUGGGGAUCAAACAGGAUUAGAUACCCUUGUAGUC